rnacentral:rRNA from 1 species
GACGAACGCUGGCGGCGUGGAUUAGGCAUGCAAGUCGAACGGUAUCAUCCUUUCGGGGGUGAGAGAGUGGCGAACUGGUGAGUAACACGUAGGUUAUCUACCCUCAAGACGGGGACAACCCAGGGAAACUUGGGCUAAUACCGGAUGUGAGCAACUUUUAGUUGUUUGAAAGGUGGCGUAAGCUGUCGCUUGGGGAUGAGCCUGCGUCCUAUUAGUUAGUUGGUGAGGUAACGGCUCACCUAGGCAAUGAUGGGUAGGCGGCCUUAACGGGUGGUCGCCCACACUGGGAUUGAGAUACGGCCCAGACUCCUACGGGAGGCAGCAGUCGAGAAUAGUCUACAAUGGUCGGAAGACUGAUAGUGCGACGCCGCGUGAACGAUGAAUCCCUUCGGGGUGUAAAGUUCUUUUAUAUGUGAGCAGUGCUUCUUAUAUUAACAGUAUGGGGAGAGAGAUAUUAGCAUAUGAAUAAGCAACGGCUAACUCCGUGCCAGCAGCCGCGGU